rnacentral:rRNA from 1 species
GGUAUUUUGACUAUACGAAGGUAUUGAAAUAAGGCUUUAAAUGAGUGCUAAGAGAAUGGUUAUACAAUUAUUAGCUUUCUUUAAUUAAGUAAUUGAAUUUAAUUUUUUUGUGAAGAAGCAAUAAUGUAAAUUAGGGACAAGAAGACCCUAUGAAUUUUUAUAAAUUUUAUAAAAUUAUAUUUUUUUUUUAUAAAAUUUAUUUGAUUGGGGUGAUAUAAAAAGAAUAUUUAUCUUUUUGUAAUAAUUUAAUUUGAUCCGCUAGUAGCGAUUAUUUGAAAUAAAUACUCUAGGGAUAACAGCGUAAUAAUUUUGGAUAGUUCAUAUAGAUAAAAUAGUUUGCGACCUCGAUGUUGGAUUAGGAUACUUUUUUGGUGAAGAAAUUAAAAUUAAGAAGUUUGUUCAACUUUUAAAUUCCU